rnacentral:tRNA from 3 species
AGUAGCUCAGCUGGAUAGAGCAUCCGCCUUCUAAGCGGACGGUCGGGGGUUCGAAUCCCUCCU